rnacentral:rRNA from 1 species
UACGGAGGAUGCAAGCGUUAUCCGGAAUUAUUGGGCGUAAAGCGUCCGCAGGUGGCUAAUCAAGUCUGCUGUUAAAGACAGAAGCUUAACUUCUGGCAAGUGGUGGAAACUGGGAAGCUAGAGUACGGUAGGGGUUGAGGGAAUUCCCAGUGUAGCGGUGAAAUGCGUAGAUAUUGGGAAGAACACCAGUGGCGAAGGCGCUCAACUGGGCCGUAACUGACACUCAGGGACGAAAGCUAGGGUAGCGAAAGGG